rnacentral:tRNA from 1 species
GGUAAGAUAGGUUAAACCUAAGAUCAGCGGGUUCAUGCCCCGAAGGUGCCUUAUGUGCUCUUACUA